UACGUAGGGACCAAGCGUUGUUCGGAUUUACUGGGCGUAAAGGGCGCGUAGGCGGCAAUUCAAGUCAUCUGUGAAAAUCUCCGGGCUUAACUCGGAACGGUCAGAUGAUACUGCUUUGCUAGAGUGCGGAAGGGGCAAUCGGAAUUCUCGGUGUAGCGGUGAAAUGCGUAGAUAAUCGAGAGGAACACCUGAGGUGAAGACGGGUUGCUGGGCCGAUACUGACGCUGGAGGAGCGAAAGCGUGGGGAGCGAACAGGA
rnacentral:rRNA from 1 species